rnacentral:rRNA from 1 species
AUACGUAGGUGGCAAGCGUUGUCCGGAAUUAUUGGGCGUAAAGCGCAUGUAGGCGGUUUGGUAAGUCGGUCGUGAAAAUGCGGUGCUUAACGCCGUAUGGCGAUUGAAACUGCUGAACUUGAGUGCAGGAGAGGUAAGUGGAAUUCCCAGUGUAGCGGUGAAAUGCGUAGAGAUUGGGAGGAACACCAGUGGCGAAGGCGGGUAACUGGACUGCAACUGACGCUGAGGCGCGAAAGUGUGGGGAGCAAACAGGAUUAGAUACCCUGGUAGUCCACACUGUAAACGAUGAGUGCUAGGUGUAAGAGGUAUCGACCCCUUUUGUGCCGGAGUCAACACAAUAAGCAUUCCGCCUGGGGAGUACGGCCGCAAGGUUGAAACUCAAAGGAAUUGACGGG